rnacentral:rRNA from 1 species
AGACGAGAAGACCCUAUGGAGCUUUAGACACCAAGGCGGCCCACAUUAAACACCCCCGAAUAAGGGACUAAACCAAGUGAACACCGCCCUAAUGUCUUUGGUUGGGGCGACCGCGGGGAAUUACAAAACCCCCACGUGGAAUGGGGGCACCCCUCCUACAGCUAAGAGCUACAGCUCUAGUAAACAGAAAUUCUGACCAAUAAGAUCCGGCAAUGCCGAUCAACGGACCGAGUUACCCUAGGGAUAACAGCG